rnacentral:misc_RNA from 1 species
GAUGAAGAACGCAGCGAAAUGCGAUAAGUAAUGUGAAUUGCAGAAUUCAGUGAAUCAUCGAGUCUUUGAACGCACAUUGCGCCCCCUGGUAUUCCGGGGGGCAUGCCUGUCCGAGCGUCAUUGCUGCCCUCAAGCACGGCUUGUGUGUUGGGCCGCCGUCCCCGGUUUCCCCCGGGGACGGGCCCGAAAGGCAGCGGCGGCACCGCGUCCGAUCCUCGAGCGUAUGGGGCUUUGUCACCCGCUCGGUAGGCCCGGCCGGCGCCAGCCGACACCCAACUUUAUUUCUAAGGUUGACCUCGGAUCAGGUAGGGAUACCCGCUGAACUUAAGCAUAUCAAUAAGCGGAGGA